rnacentral:rRNA from 1 species
AUUGAACGCUGGCGGCAGGCCUAACACAUGCAAGUCGAGCGGAGCGGCGGACGGGUGCGUAAUGCCUAGGAAUCUGCCUGGUGGAGGAUGCCGUCCGUAAACGGGCGAUAAUAUCGCAUACUACUAGAUGAGCCUAGGUCGGCUUAGCUAGUUGGUGGGGUAAAGGCGUACCAAGGCGACGAUCCGUAACUGGUCUGAGAGGAUGAUCAGUCACACUGGAACUGAGACACGGUCCAGACUCCUACGGGAGGCAGCAGUGGGGAAUAUUGGACAAUGGGCGAAAGCCUGAUCCAGCCAUGCCGCGUGUGUGAAGAAGGUCUUCGGAUUGUAAAGUACUUUAAGCUGGGAGGCGUUAUCAACAGAAUAAGCACCGGCUAACUUCGUGCCAGCCGCCGCGGUAAUUC